CACGAACACAAUUGAAGUUCCAGAACUAGAUUAUUUGGCAGUAUAUAUUUGAGAUAAUUUUAUUUUUCAAGAUUAAAUACCUAUAAAUUAAUUUUGAUUUCGGGUCAUUUCCAAAAAAAAUAAAAAAUUUCUGAUAUCAACCAAAAUCAAUAAAUUGGAUAAAUUUUUUUAUAUAUUGUGAGGACGUUUCGUCCCUUUCGUAGGCUGAGGUAGCUCAGCCGCCCAGGGAAGGCAUAAAACACAAGAAAAUUUAUAUUCGCAGGUUCGAAGGCGAUCAGAUAACGCCCUAGUUCUAACCAUAAACGAUGCCAGCUAGCAAUUGGGUGUAACUACUAUUAUGGCUCUCUCAGUCGCUUCCUGGGAAACCAAAGCUUUUGGGCUCCGGGGGAAGUACGGUUGCAAAGCUGAAACUUAAAGGAAUUGACGGAAGGACACCACUAGAAGUGGAGCCUGCGGCUUAAUUUGACUCAACACAGGAAAACUUACCAGGUCCGAACAUAAGCUUGUAAGACAGAUUGAUAGCUCUUUCUCGAAUCUAUGGGUGGUGGUGCAUGGCCGUUCUUAGUUCGUGGAGUGAUUUGUCUGGUUAAUUCCGAUAACGAACGAGACUCAAAUAUAUUAAAUAGAUGCUUUCAGAAUUAUGGUGUUGAAGCUUUUAUGGCCUUCAUUUACGACCACAGUAAAAUGUGUGAGUGUUUGAAUGUGUUUAUAAAAGUGGAGCCGUACCUGUUGGUUUGUCCUUUUAUAGAACAGCUUCUUAAAUAGACAAGUUGCGUCUAGCAAUAAUGAGAUUGAGCAAUAACAGAUCUGUGAUGCCCUUAGAUGUGUUGGGCUGCACGCGCGCUACAAUGAAAGUAUCAACGUGUAUUUCCUAGACCGAGAGGUCCGGGUAAACCGCUGAACCACUUUCAUGCUUGGGAUUGUGAACUGAAACUGUUCACAUGAACUUGGAAUUCCCAGUAAGUGUGAGUCAUUAACUCGCAUUGAUUACGUCCCUGCUCUUUGUACACACCGCCCGUCGCUACUACCGAUUGAAUUAUUUAGUGAGGUCUCCGGACGUGAUCACUGUAACGCAUUUUAUGUGUUGCGGAUGUUUCGCAAAAGUUGACCGAACUUGAUUAUUUAGAGGAAGUAAAAGUCGUAACAAGGUUUCGGUAGGUGAACCUGCGGAAGGAUCAUUA
rnacentral:ncRNA from 1 species